AGAUUGAACGCUGGCGGCGUGCCUAACACAUGCAAGUCGAGCGGUAACAGGCGUAGCAAUACGUGCUGACGAGCGGCGAACGGGUGAGCAAUGCUUCGGAAUCUGCCCAAUGAUGGGAAUAACCAGUCGAAAGAUUGGCUAAUACCGCAUACGCCCGUUCGGGGAAAGCGGGGCUCGUAAGACCUCGCGUCGAGUGGAUGAGCCGAAGUCGGAUUAGCUAGUUGGUAGGUAACGCCUACCGAAGGCGACGAUCCGUAGCUGUCUGAGAGGACGACC
rnacentral:rRNA from 1 species